GACGAACGCUGGCGGCGUGCUUAACACAUGCAAGUCGAGCGGUAAGGCCCUUUCGGGGGUACACGAGCGGCGAACGGGUGAGUAACACGUGGGUGACCUGCCCUUAGCUCUGGGAUAAGCCUGGGAAACUGGGUCUAAUACCGGAUAUGACUCCAUGACGCAUGUUGUGGGGUGGAAAGCCUUGUGCGGCUGGGGAUGGGCCCGCGGCCUAUCAGCUUGUUGGUGAGGUAAAGGCUUACCAAGGCGA
rnacentral:rRNA from 1 species